GCGUAACUAAAAUAGGACAGAAAUUAGCUUCUGAAGUUGGAAUAUCUUGAAUUAUGAAGGGGAAGGGAAGAGAUGAAUCCUAAUUUGGAAGAAACUAAAUCAAACUCCAAUAGAUUCUCCUCCAAUUGGUGCCCACCAAUAACAAUUGAUCUUCUUGGUUCUUUACCACCAUCCACAAAUCCAAGACAUGCUACAUUUUUAUUCACCAACACCAUUGAAUUUCCACCAUAUACAUACUGUCCACUUCACACCCCUUUUUAGGACCAAAUCAAUAUUUAUCACAUCCAAUCCAAUAAUAGUCCUACCAAUAGCACUUAAAUCAAAACAUGCUCCAAAUUGUGUCACUGAUGCCACUUGCUUUAUUUUUUUUUAUCAGCAGAUUUCUUAGCAAAAAGAUUUAAAUAUAGAACUAUGCAACACUGUGAAGGACUUCAUGGUGGUAAAUUUUGUUCCACCAUAUUCCUUAUUGUCCAUGGGCAAAAUGGAAGACUUAAAGUUGAGAACUUUGCAACCAACUUUAAUUGAUUUCACAUCAAUUAAAUAUUCAUAAAAAGCAUCACCUUUACCAGAUAUUGGAGCAGUGCUAAAGGGGUUUACACAAGAUCAAUACAACAGUCUCAUGAAUUUGCUUCAGCAGUCUAAGACAAAAGCUUCAUGUGCAUUUCAUUCUACCAACAAAGUAUUUUUGUUGUUACUAACUUUCAUGCCAAUUUAAUUUCAGUUCCAAGAUAUGUUGCUGUCUUUACUUCUAAUUUUUGCAGGACACUACCAAGAGGAUGAUUGGUACAACUAGAUUAGUUGGUAGUUUCUACAAAAUUGAUUUUCCAGAAACCGAGUCUUUCUCUAAUUCAGUUUGCCAUAUUAGUUUCAAUUCUAUUUCCACUUGUAAUACCAAUAAUUGUUUUUCGGCCUUUUCACUUUUGUGUCUCUUUCAAACGUGAUAUAUUACCGGAAAUCUUUGUUUGACAAAAGGAAAGUUAUUUCUUUCUAACGAUUACGUGAUGUUAGAAAUUUUGCAGGCUGGUCCAUCCUUUGGGUCUUGCAAGAACAUUUAUUGUUGAACAAGAGUUUAACAUGAUCCUUGUGUUGUCCUGUUCAUCUCUACAAAGGAUAUGGUAGGAUUGGUUUUACUCUCAGGAAAUAUAACAAUAUCAGAGGAAGUCCUUCCUCUCUUCUUCUCUUCAGAAAGUAGAAACAUUUAAAUCAAUAGGAUUUUGCUUGCUUCAUCUUUAGUAAAGCUAGAAGACUUUUGUUGUUUCCAGAGAAGCUAUGAAAGAUGGUUUUGCAAACAAAGAUUUUUGUUGCAUUAGCUUGGUUAGAUUCCCUCAUGGCUAAUUUUUUUUUAUUUUUUUUAAUUUGAUGGAAAAAGUG